ACAAGCAGCGGAGCAUGUGGUUUUAAUUCGAAGCAACGCGAAGAACCUUACCAGAUCUUGACAUCCAAUUGACCAUCUUUUAAUCGAGAUUUUGCCUUCGGGUACAAUUGAGACAGGUGGUGCAUGGUUGUCGUCAGCUCGUGUCGUGAGAUGUUGGGUUAAGUCCCGCAACGAGCGCAACCCUAUUGCUAGUUACCAUCAUUAAGUUGGGGACUCUAGCGAGACUGCCAGUGAUAAACUGGAGGAAGGUGGGGAUGACGUCAAAUCAUCAUGCCCCUUAUGACCUGGGCUACAAACGUGAUACAAUGGCUGGAACAAAGGGAUGCGAAGCAGUGAUGUGGAGCGAAACCCAUAAAAACAGUCUCAGUUCGGAUUGAAGUCUGCAACUCGACUUCAUGAAGUCGGAAUCGCUAGUAAUCGCGGAUCAGAACGCCGCGGUGAAUACGUUCUCGGGGUUU
rnacentral:rRNA from 1 species